GCCAGGAACCAGCGCGUAGGCCAGAGCCUCCCCCAGCCCCGCUGAGACAGGAUCGGGGAGGGGGGGACAGAGGACACAAAGUGACCACUCGCACUCGGGGUGCCAGGCUGGCCUUCAGCAGGGCUCCCUGAAGCGCUGCUGACCAGUCUGCACGGGGCCAGGCAAAGACACCGGUCCUUGGACUUGUCUGAGCCUCGAUGAUGCGCCAUCCCUAUGCUGGGCUUCCAGGAUAGGAGUGGAGAGGAGCGUGCAGCCCACUCCUGAGCCUGCAUCAAGGGGACUGCCUUAGGCAGAAAACUCCAGAAAGAGCUCGGGCUGGGGUGAUAAACAUUAGGGAGAAAGUCAGAUAGGACUGAUGCGCAAAGGAGGAAGAAAGAACACCUCCCACCUCAGGCAGGGUCCUGGAGGAACCUGCAGAAAGUCCUGAAGAUGAGGCCUUGGCAUGAGGCGGGCAGUGUGCCAGGGGCAGAGCACUAGGGGUCUUAACGGGCGAGGAGGGGACGUCAGAGCCCCCUCCCCCCGCAGACGUGCGUCCCAGAUCUGCCAGGUGCUCCAAGAACUCACAGGGAGCCACACUCGCCUCCGAGGCCUGGAGGUUCCCGAGUAGCCAGCGCUAACCAGCCCAAGGAAUUGCCUUGCCUAUGCAGACCUGUUCUCUCCAUGCUCUGGGGACACCUCAGCAACAUAAAUGCUAACAUCCCCACCAUGUGGGUGACAUCUGGGUCACUUGUCCAGGUCUCAAAGCCAGUGAGUGGCUAGGAGAAUGCACACUCAUCAAACACCGGGUGGAAGCUCUUGACGCUGGCACGCCACGGAGAAGAACCCCCAGAGUUGAGAGCUCGAUGGGGCAGGGAUGGGAAGCUGGGUCUGGAGGGCUGAGGAAGAGUGUGAGAGGAUUGCAUGCGGGGACAGAACACGUGGAGAGAAAGGUGGAGAACACGCACGGCGCGUAGAACCAGAGCCCUGCGGGCAUCUCUAAGACAUCCCACAGCCCGGCUUCUGGGGACUGGUGCCAUGUCAAAGCGAGGCCUUGGCCUGAGAGGAGCUAUCUCUUCCUUACCCAGCAGUGAUUUCCAGAGAACAGAGCACUCCAGAAUCCAGCACUCAACUCCCCACAUCUGCCAACAAUUCCCAUGACAACCAGUAUUCGGUGAUGUCUUCAUGAAGCACAAGAGGCUUAAGGACUUCAGACAGAGACAGCAACGUGUUCAGAGUCCAGGAGAGUGUGCCAGCUCCAGCCCUAACACGAAGCCUCUGAGUGACUUUGAGAAAAAUCACUUAACCUCUCUCAAAUGAAGCAUGUGAGCUGCCCUUGGGAAUCGCCAACACCAAGUAUAAUGGGCAAGUGGAAGAAGGGAGCAGUGCAAACUGAGCGGGAUUAGAAGACCCUGGAGUUCCUGGUUGCUGGUGUGACGUCAUCUGCCUCAUGCGUCAUUGUGAGGCAGAGCACUUACAGCAGGCUCCGCGCAGCCGUGACUGUUCAGGUGCUGAGAGCACGUGUGCCGCGCAGCUGACGGGGGAGCAUCUGUUCCAGCAAGUCUUCCUGGGACUGGCAUAUUCCAAGUACACAAUCCCACUUCCGGAGAAUUCCACCUGGCUUUUCACUAACAAACCUUUUCCUAUUCUCCCAAAUGAUUUUGUCACCCUUGCCCCUUACUGCUACCCCACAUGCACAUCCCCUCUCUCCAGCCAUGAUGUAAAAGUACAAUGAAAGAGCUUUAAGAACAGUCACCUUAUUUUUGUACCAAAAACUCAAAGUACAUUAGGAUUAUUCAAAAUUCUCAAGCUACUUAGUAGCAAGUCAUUUACUGUAAAAUAUUAGAAGUGAAUUUCUCAGCACAAAUUAUGAUGUACAUGUACAAUGCUGUUUAUUGCAUGUGGUUACUAUAUUUCUAACAUCUUUGCCAAUGUGAAAAAUAAACCUGUGACAGUGUGGUUCUGCCUGUUUUAGGAUCAUAUUAGCAAGAACCACUUUUACUGAACUCCUCCUUGCCAGCCACUCUGCUGGUCUAUGAAGUACUAUCUCCCUUAGAAUAGACCCUUGUUACCCCAUGUGAUCAGUGAAGAAAGGGAGGAAUGGAGGGCUAACGACUCUGCCCAAGUUGCAUUGCUGAAACAGAGCUAGGGUUCACAGGAAGUAAGACUGGCUCCAAGUCUCUCAGGUCUUGGCGCCAGACCAGACAGAACGGUCUCAGAAGUAACCUUGUAAAGCUGGUGGAGGUGACCAUGUAAUCCAGCCCAAUAUUUGAGAGAUUAACCAGGUGUCCAGGCACCUGGAUAGUUAGUAGAUGACUAGAUCACAUCCCUGGCAUCUUUGGCAGAUGUAUUAUAACAAGAACAAAGUUUUAUCUAAUAGCAGAAUGUUCCAGAAACUGAACUCCACACACUGGAUGUACAUUGUAUUAUUAUUCCUAUCAGUCGUGACAGGGGCACAUGCAUGAGAAUGCAGGUGAAUAUGCAUGUGUGUGCAUAACCAAAGGCUGGUGUUAGGGGCCUCCCUCAAUAUCUUUCCCCCUUAUUUUCUGAGACAGUCUCUCACUGAACCUAAAGCUCAUAGAUUCAGCUAAACCACCAGCCAGCAACUUCUGGGAAUCAACCAGUCUCUGUCUCCCAAGCUCUGAGUGACAAGCACAUGCCACCACACCUGGAAUUUUUACUUGAGCACUGGGGAUUCGAACUCAGAACUCCAUACUUACACAACAAGCAGUUUACACAGGGAGUCAUCUUCCAGCCAGGUAACUCUGCUUCACAAAGAUGAAGGUAAGUCAAGGGUGAUGCCAUCACGCAACUCUAAAGCAUAUGACUACUUCCUGGAAAACAGGAGGUAAGGAAAUGGGCCCUGAGCGUAGUGCCAAAGACUGCUCUCCCUCUCGGGCCUGCGCACCCCAUCCAGGGUGGGUGCGAGCACGGGUCUUCCUUCUGUCGCGGUGCGCUUGCUCCUUUCUGUGGCUUAGCACUGGCUGCAGAGUGUCCUCCAAGCCACUUCUGGAAUACUUUACCCCUGGAGCAUGGCCUGGUAGCUUCUUGGCAUGAAUCUAACAGUCUGCAAGAAAAAUCAUCCCCCAGUUUCCGAAUGUGUGUUACUCAAAACAUGUUCCCCAAGAACUAUGCAUAUGCUAUGAAUACUUUCAUGCCUCCUGUUGGAUACUGCAAAACUGGAUAUGUCAAUGAAAAGUUACAGUUGGGAAUUAUUAUAGCAUUGUGAGUAUUAGGUAUUCUCACUAGACUCUGUUAGAGGACUAAAAAAGCUUUA